rnacentral:rRNA from 1 species
UACGUAGGAGGCGAGCGUUGUCCGGAUUUACUGGGCGUAAAGCGCGUGUAGGCGGUUCGAUUAGUCUGCUGUGAAAGCUCCCCGCUUAACGAGGAGAGGUCGGUGGAUACUGUCGGACUUGAGGACGGUAGAGGGGGGUGGAAUUCCCGGUGUAGUGGUGAAAUGCGUAGAUAUCGGGAGGAACACCAGUGGCGAAGGCGACUACCUGGCCUGUUCUUGACGCUGAGGCGCGAAAGCUAGGGGAGCAAACGGG